CGACAUGUGGUGUGGAGCAGGAAUGGGAUAAAGACUCAGGGAAGAAAUGAGUGAAGUACACAAUGGCCAGAGGCCUCUAGGACCGCGAAUCCCGCUGGAGAGGUGACCUGCGGCUGGGAUCCAUCGCUUGCCUGCAGGGAAAUUGGCACAGGAGGAAUGCACGUGGUGCUGUGAGCCGCGGGCACUAAGGUUGUUCAGAGAGGGAGCGCGCACAGCAGCGCUGAAGGACCGCUUCCUGGGCAUUCCUGAGCUCAAGGAAAACUCAACUCUGCUGUCCCAUCCAGGGAAACACCUGAGAUUGAAAGCAAGAGAUUUGCUUCAGAACUGCUGGGGCCUGCCUAAUUUGGAGCUUGAGACUGUCAUCAACAAGGCCCGAGGUCACUUUAGGGCAGCAGGGAUACACUCUUUUAAAGAUGUGACCAAGAGACCGUGUGGCCCAAGAAGACCGAUGCUGAGCUUAACCGAAGCAGUUUCUGAGAAUUGUCAGGACCCUCGCUGGAUUGGUAAUUCUGCU